rnacentral:rRNA from 1 species
UACGAAGGGGCUAGCGUUGUUCGGAAUUACUGGGCGUAAAGCGCGCGCAGGCGGCUAUCCAAGUCAGUGGUGAAAGCCCGGAGCUCAACUCCGGAACUGCCAUUGAAACUGUUUAGCUUGAGGAUGAGAGAGGUGAGUGGAAUUCCCAGUGUAGAGGUGAAAUUCGUAGAUAUUGGGAAGAACACCGGUGGCGAAGGCGGCUCACUGGCUCAUUACUGACGCUCAGGCGCGAUAGCGUGGGAUCAAACAGG